GCGUCGGCCUGCGGGCUCCCCAUUCGGCCCGUCUUGAAACACGGACCAAGGAAUCUGACAUGUGUGCGAGUCAAUGGCCUAGAAAACUCGUAAGACGUAAGGAAGCUGAUUGGCGGGAUCCCUCAGGGGUGCACCGCCGACCGACCUUGAUCUUUUGAGAAGGGUUCGAGUGAGAGCAUGCCUGUCGGGACCCGAAAGAU
rnacentral:ncRNA from 1 species